rnacentral:rRNA from 1 species
AGGGAAUCUUCGGCAAUGGACGGAAGUCUGACCGAGCAACGCCGCGUGAGUGAAGAAGGUUUUCGGAUCGUAAAGCUCUGUUGUAAGAGAAGAACGAGUGUGAGAGUGGAAAGUUCACACUGUGACGGUAUCUUACCAGAAAGGGACGGCUAACUACGUGCCAGCAGCCGCGGUAAUACGUAGGUCCCGAGCGUUGUCCGGAUUUAUUGGGCGUAAAGCGAGCGCAGGCGGUUAGAUAAGUCUGAAGUUAAAGGCUGUGGCUUAACCAUAGUACGCUUUGGAAACUGUUUAACUUGAGUGCAAGAGGGGAGAGUGGAAUUCCAUGUGUAGCGGUGAAAUGCGUAGAUAUAUGGAGGAACACCGGUGGCGAAAGCGGCUCUCUGGCUUGUAACUGACGCUGAGGCUCGAAAGCGUGGGGAGCAAACAGGAUUAGAUACCCUGGCAGUCCACGCCGUAAACGAUGAGUGCUAGGUGUUAGACCCUUUCCGGGGUUUAGUGCCGUAGCUAACGCAUUAAGCACUCCGCCUGGGGAGUACGACCGCAAGGUUG